rnacentral:sRNA from 1 species
AUCAUCAGUAGAGGUUUACAUUGACCAUG